CGCCUCCUACAGAUCAACGUGCUCAGAAACAGAAUCAAUGACAACCAGAAAGUCUCCAAGACCCGGGGGAAGGCCAAGGUCACGGGGCGCUGGAAGUGAGACCCAGACCCGCUCCUGGCCGUGUCCUGCCCGCCCUGCAGGCCCCCAGCUCCUGGGCCCUCCUGGCACGGGGCCGGGUGGGGAGCAGGUUCUGUCUGGACACCGGGAGGGCCCAGCUGGCCGCCGCCACACACAGCUGCCACCCACAUGCCCACGCCACGCUAGGAAUAAAGCCACCGCCCACCCAUUGGCA